rnacentral:rRNA from 1 species
GGAUUAGAUACCCUGGUAGUCCACGCUGUAAACGAUGAGAACUAGAUGUUGUCCAGUUAUUACUGGGCAGUAUCGCAGCUAACGCAUUAAGUUCUCCGCCUGGGGAGUACGGUCGCAAGAUUAAAACUCAAAGGAAUUGACGGGGGCCCGCACAAGCGGUGGAGCAUGUGGUUUAAUUCGAUGCAACGCGAAGAACCUUACCUACCCUUGAAAUCCUAGGAAUUUUCCAGAGAUGGAGAAGUGCCUUCGGGAACCUAGAGACAGGUGCUGCAUGGCUGUCGUCAGCUCGUGCCG